UCUUUUCUCGCUUUGGCAACACAUAUUUAGAACAAUACAGAGAAGAUUAGCAUGGCUGCUAUUCAAGGAUGACAAGCAAAUUUGUAAAGUGUUCCCUUAAAAA